rnacentral:lncRNA from 1 species
AUGACAAUGGUAGAAUGAGUAUAAGUAGAGCUAUGUUAAUCACUGACAGUCAUUGCCUUUUGCAAAAUGUUAGGUAGAAACAGGAAUGUUGAGAGGUUGGGAAGACACUGUGAGAAGGAAAUUAGAUACAGACAAACUAAGAAAUACUAUCAUUUAAAAGAUUGGAAUAGACAUCACCUAAAAUAUGCUACAGAUUUAUUCAUUAACAAAGGGUAUAGCAAUGAAUUCCCCCUCUCAUUUUAAAUAUUUUGUGUUACUCAAGAAAAUAGGAACCCCAGUAGUUGUUGAUGUUACGACAUUCUUUUCCUUCAAUGGGAGAUUUAUUCAUUAAUUAAACAAGACCUUUUUGAAUACUUUAUUGAGCACCUAAUAUGUUAAAAGCCCUCCAAGUGUUUUUACAAAGUAGAAAUCUAGACAGAGUGGUAGAGCUUGAAAGAAUCUUGGAGAUUGUACCUGCAUGUGACUUUUUUAACAAAUGAGGAAAUAAGAGAAAGGCAAUGUCCAAUAUAAGCUGAAAGAGCUUAUAAUCUCCAUGAAUUAAAAAAAAAGACUUGUUCUUAUGAAAAAUUACAUAAGAAUAUUAAGCUAGUAUGCUACAGUAGUAGAAAUAGGAACUUUGGAAUUUAACUCAGUUUCUUAUUAGCUAUGUGGCUUUUGGCUCUCUACUUUACUUAAGCCUCGGAAGACUUCAGUUUUCCUCAUCUGUAAAAACCAUACCUUGUAGAUUUGUUUUGAGAAUUGGAUGUUAUCAUGUUUUUAGAAUGAUUGGACACAUCCUGAACAUGAGAAAUUGUCAAUAAAUGGUAACUGUUAUCAUUACCAUUGAGCUAAUGUUGUCUCGGACAUGCUUUACCUGUGUCUUAGAUGUCAAUUGCCCUAGGAAAUUGGAGUCUAGGAAGGCAGUGUCAAGGUCAUUUUUUCCCCCUUUGCUCUCUCUUGUACUUUCCCUGUUCUUUUCCCUUCCCAUCCCUUUCCCAAAUAAAAUGACACCAUAAAAUAACUAAAGAACACACUUUUCUUUUAUAUCCUACCAGUGUCCUCUGCACAGUUUCCACAUGCUCAUAUCCACCAAAUGUUUAUUACCCUAGAGGCACAGGCUCUUAGGAUAUGGUGACAAUUUCUUUGUAGACUAUGAUGAGUUAGCUUCCGUGGCUGAGUCUGUCAGAACAAUAACAUGAUAAUUCCAAUCUUCAGUAAUAUGCAGCCAGCUAAGAGUAGCUGUCACUUCCCUUUUAGAAAAACUUCAGUAUUUUCAACUUUAGUGUUUUUGUGAAACAUGUUUUUGAAAUAAGUAGUUAUAAAAAUAAUUUCCCAACGAGCUUCAUUUUCUGAGGACAAGUAAGGGCUCCUGUCCCUAUAGAGAUGGAAAGAAGGUAACUGCUCCAAAACCCACCCCUACUGCAAUAUCACAAGGUACAUCAUGCUACUUUUUGAUUUCUAAGUGGAAAUUUUUUAAUACCAUUCUUUCUCAUUUCAUUUCAUUUUUCUUUCUGUAUGACCUAUCCCUUACAACCCUUUUUGCUUGAGGUUUUGAUUGCCUUGCUGUAUUAUUUUUCAACCUUUUUACAUAUUUAUUAUUCCAUAAGCCUAGAUGUUGAUUUUCUUUCAUACUUGAUUUAAUUUAUUUUGUGAGUUUGUGUUCAAUUUAUGGAUUUUGAGAUAAAUCUCUCUCAUUGGUUCUUUACACUAUAGACUGCAUAAAAUCUGAUUUAUAAAAGUUCACUUUGUUUUUGAUGUAAAAGCAAAUAUCACAUUUGAUUUGGCCUCAGUCACAUGGGGUUAUUAAGGAGGGGAAAUGUUUUUGAUACUAGUAAAAUUAGCCCUUUUGAUUUUCAGUUGAAGCAAAGAAGAGGGAAAUUGACAUUUGCCUGAGUUUGAUAUUUGAGCUGACUCUGAUCUUUGAUUAUUUUAAAAUGUUUAUGUAAAUCUGAGUCCUGUCUAAGCAAUCUACUAUUGGCAGAGCUUUAGCAAAUUAGCAACCAUAGCAGAGCCAGAUGCUUUUAAAACUAAAGCCACUUACAUAUUUUUUAAGAAAAAAAAAUCUUUUUUAAUGUAAGAGCAUAAGAAUAGUGGCAAUCAAAACAAUUUCAUUUCAGAUUCUAUGACAUUCUCAUGAAUGAGUUAGGCAAGUCCCUAGGAUCUAGUCUAUAUCAGUUCAGAAUAUCCAUCUUUCACCUGUUAGGGCCUUCUAAAUUAAAAUUUGUAAUAUAUACAUGGGUAUUGUGUAGCCUCAGACAUAAUGUAUAUAUGUCUUUAAGAGAUAUGUGGAUAUAUUUUAUUGUGAUUAUUGCAGGGCUCACAAUGAGGAUAUUCUUCACCUGGAUCUUUUCAAUAUUCAGCAAAAUUUAUCAAUUUCAAACAUUUUAUUAACAAUUCUUAUAUUUUCAAGAGUUUUUUUCUCUCUCAAUAUUUUGUCUAGUUUAUUUCUUUUUUUUUAACAUUUAUUUAUUUAUUUAUUAUUUAUUUAUUUAUUUUGUCUUUUUUUGCUAUUUCUUGGGCUGCUCCUGCAGCAUGUGGAGGUUCCCAGGCUAGGGGUCCAAUCGGAGCUGUAGCCACUGGCCUACACCAGAGCCACAGCAAUUCGGGAUCCGAGCCGCGUCUGCAACCUACACCACAGCUCACGGCAACGCCGGAUCCUUAACCCACUGAGCAAGGGCAGGGACCAAACCCGCAACCUCAUGGUUCCUAGUCGGAUUCGUUAACCACUGAGCCACGACAGGAACUCCAAAGACUUUUUUUUUUUUUUCCUGAGCCACGUCUGCGACCUACACCACAGCUCGCGGCAACUCCGGAUCCUCAACCUACCGAGCAAGGCCAGGGAUCAAACCUGCAACCUCAUGGUUCCUAGUCGGAUUCGUUAACCACUGCACCAUGACGGGAACUCCUUAGUUUAUUUCUUGAGGUCUUAUUAAUUCAGAGAGUUUCUCUUUUUCAAUUGUCACCUGUAGUAUCUUAAAAGUAAAUGAAGAAGAUAACUGUUUGGAGCUUUGGAGGAAGAAGUGAUAUCAGAUGAAUUCUUCUAACUAAAAAGGGGGAUACAAUGGAAAGAAAAAAUUACUCAAUAUAAUGCAAUUUGAAUAGUUCUAUAAUUAUUAAAGAAUUAAUAUGUUUAAAACUUCAGAAAAAGAUGUCUCAAAUAUACUCAGAUGAUAUAACUGUUGGAUUAUACCAAAUAUUUGAAGAAUUAAUACCAAUUAGACACAAUUGCUU